UAUCCACAGCAUAUGGAAGUUCCUAGGCCAGGGAUUGAAUCUGAACUGGAGCUGCAACCUAUGCCACAGCUGUGACAAUGCUGGAUCUUUAACCCACUGUGCCACAGUAGGAACUCCCAGAGGACAAAUAUUUUUAGGAAAGCAUGGGGGGAAUGGAGGUCUCUAAGAUCAAUACCACUGAUGCAAAUACUUGUAACAAAGCACUUUACCAUAUUUAAUUCAUUUAAUCAUCACAACUCUAUGUGGCAGACAUUAUUACUAUCAUCCCCAUCUUACAAAUGAAUAAGAGCAAUUAAGUGGUUUUCCCAAGGUCAUGUAGCUAGUAGGUAGCAAAGUUAGACCUUGAACCCAGGCUAUCUGGCUCUAAAGUCCAGGCUACUAACUAUUAUGCUAUCCAACCUGGUCAGAGUAUAUAAAAUGAAGACAAAAUGAGAAAAUGAGUGUGGGAUAUUCAGACUUCUUAUAGCAACAGACAAGUUACUAUUAUGUUCGUGAUGUACAAUGUCUUAUUUUUGCCCCAAGAAAAAUUUUAGCCAUACUCUCAUUCUCUCAAUGGCAAAAAGAUGAUGUUUUACUCUCUCACUUCUCACACAAAAGUUUUUAAAUUGCUCUACUUACAAGUGAAUGAGAGUCUUCUAGCUUCCUCUCAAAUUUUUCUUCCAGUUCAUUCAUUUUAGUUAUAACUAUUGUUUAACUGAUAGCUUGACUUACAAAUCCAACCUUUUUUCUCCUGCUAUAGGCUUGGCUUGACUUAGUGAAAACCUACUGCUUGUCACAGGUCAGGGAAUAUUUAUACUAUAAAGGAGCAGAGCAACAACAACAAUAGUAAUGACAGAUACAAAAUGUAAUAUAUCUUGUGCCCCAAACACUGGUCCUAGGCACAUUGUCAAUAUUUUCUUAUUUAAUCCUCACAAUAAUCCCUGAAAAAAAAAAAAACAGGGUAUUAUUCCAAUACCCUAGGCAAGAGAAUAGAGUCUAAAACAAUAAGCAACUUAAGUCAUUCAAGUAGUAGAUUUGAAUCAAGGUCUAUCUGACUUCAAUGCCCAUUAUACUGGUUGCUAUCCGAAAAAGUGCUACACUGCUUUAGCAUCAAAUAAAUGCUUAAAUCUUAGUUUUAUAGCUAUUUCCCCAACACAAUUUUUUUCCACUGUACAGCGUGGUGACCCAGUUACACAUAUAUGUACACAUUCUUUUGUCUCACAUUAUCAUGCUCCAUCGUAAAUGACUAGAAUAGUUCCCAGUGCUACAUAGCAGGAUCUCAUUGCUAAUCCAUUCCAAAAGCAACAGUUUGUAUCCAUUAACCCCAAGCUCCCAAUCCAUCUCACUCCCUCCCACCACCCCAGACAACCACAAGUCUAUUCUCCAAAAGAUAGACCAGAAUCCCUCCAAUCAUCAGGGAGAGGAUUACAGUACUACUUAAUGGAAAGACAGGCAUAUGCAAAAAUAAAUUUCUGUACCAACUUUCUGCUUAAAACUCUUCCCAUGCAUGUACAUACUUUUAGCUAAGUGCUAACACUCAUAGCAGCAAAUGCUACAGCUCAAAAUGCAAAUGUCUUUUCCAUUACAAUUCCUUUUUCAGUCACUUAUAACUGCAUUAACCAUCCCACAUCUUAGCUAAAAUAUUCUCUGUCUGACCUCAGGGCAAACACUGACUUUUUCCCUUUUCCAAAAGAUGUGUGAAAAAAAGCCCCCUUUAGCUAUGUCUGAAUCACCAUCAGGAAAGGUGGGGGGAGAUCCUUAUUAUCAUCAAAUGGGGAGAGGAAGGGAAUACAAAGAGAACUGUGCAACAGAGUUUUUGCGUCCGAAAGGGGAGAAAAAAUAUAGAAAGUAUCUGAACUUUAAAACUCAAGAUGGUAAGAUGAUGCACUUUCCUAUGUGUGAAAAAUUGGUCAAGAAUAAGUUAUUAACAUUUCAGAGUGGCUUGCUGAACUAGCAGAUACCCUGUUCCCUGAAUGAGAACUGCUAGAGGGAGAAGGCAAAAGGCCUUCAGGAAAGAGAAAGUCAUGAAAGAGUGGAACAAGGGCUCAGUUAAUUCUCUUUUCCCAAAGGAUGUGAUUUUGACUCAGCCCCAAGGGUCCCAGUCUAUUCUGGUUGUAUGUAGUCCUGUUGGGUUGAGCUGUCCCCAGGUCAUCAUAUUCUUUACUGUCCAGACACAUUUUUAUCAAGUUGGGUUAAUUGAACUCUGUGUAAGGACGGAAGCAUCUGAUAGCAAGCUCCUGUCAUGUCAUAUAUACUCUGAUUUGAAUAAGUUUUUUUUCAUCCUGUUUUCUCUGUGAGUGUACGUGUGUGCGUGUGCAAGUGUGUGGGGGUGUUUACACAAAUAAAACAUUUUAUGUCAGACAUUGGAGAACAAUUCUAGGUAAACGUCUUCUGAAUAGUGUUUAUUUUUCCAUUCCACUUUCUAGUUAUAAAAGCGAUCCAUUUUCACCAAAGAAAAUGUGGGAAAUAUGGAAAGAUAUAAAAGACUAAAAUGAGAAUCACCAAUAUUCCCAGUACCCAGAGAUGACUUUGCUAUACAUCCUUCUAUGCUUCUUUCUAAAAACACUUUUUCCCAAGAAAAGAGACUAUUCUACGCAUACUAUUUCAUAACUCAUUUCCUCCUGUCGCCAGAUCUAUUCCUUUUAUCUGUGUCUGAUAAUUCCUUAGGUAAACUCACCCAAUCUCAUAGAUUUAAAUACAGUCUAUUUGCUUGUGACUUCCAAUUUUACAUAUAUCCAGCAAAAUGUCUCCUUCAAAUACAGACUCAUACAUCAGCAUCCUACACAUUUUCCUUUGCUGUUUAAUAGGCAUCUCAAGCCACGCAUGCUCAAAACUGAGCUCCGAUGUCUGCCACCCUCCCGAGCAGCCUGCUUCAGUUUUCCCCAUCUCACUAAACACUCAAUGCCAUCCUUCUACUUAUUCAGACCCCCCCAAAAAAACCUUGAUUCCUUUCAUUCUCUUGUAGCCCACAUUAAAUUUGUCGGAAAUUCUUGAGAACUCUUCCCUGAUUAUUGCCACCUGGAAUCACCACCAUCUCUCACCAGGAUUAUCUCAAAGCUGGUCUACUUGUGCUCUGUCCCUCUUCAGUCUGUUACAAUCAUUGCAAUUAGAAUGUUCAUUUAGGGGUUCCCGUCGUGGCGCAGUGGUUAACGAAUCCGACUAGGAACCAUGAGGUUGAGGGUUCGGUCCCUGCCCUUGCUCAGUGGGUUAACGAUCCGGCGUUGCCGUGAGCUGUGGUGCAGGUUGCAGACGCGGCUCGGAUCACGAGUUGCUGUGGCCCUGGUGUAGGCCGGUGGCUACAGCUCCGAUUAGACCCCUAGCCUGGGAACCUCCAUAUGCCGCAGAAGCAGCCCAAAGAGAUAGCAAAAAAAAAGACAAAAAAAAAAAAAAAAAGUUCAUUUAAUGGCUGGGUAAUAUUCCAUUGUGUAUAUGUACCACAUCUUCUUUAUCCACUCUGUUGAUGGACAUUAUCACUCAGCCAUUGAAAGGAAAGAAAUAAUGGCAUUGGUAGCAACAUGGAUGGACCUAGAAAUUAUCAUGCUAAGUGAAGUCAGUCAGACA
ensembl:lncRNA